UGAAAUCUAAUAAUAGAACCCACAACCAGUUUGGGGUGUCUGCCCUACUUCUUGACAGUCUGCCCUGAGGUUCGGCACUCCUGGUCAUGAACCACCUCAGGGAGCGUGACAUUAAGCACUUAGUCACAGCAACAUUACCAGUAAGUCCUUGCGUAUGCUAGACAAUGGCUAUGCAUCUGGAGCAAUCUGCCUGGAGAGACUGAGGGAAAACCUAUUCCAAAGUAAAAUUUGAACUAAACGGCAACCAAGGUCACGAGCAGGGAAGCUGUUAGAUCUGUCAGACCCUGCAGUAGGACACCUAGGGGGCAAACUUAGGCUAAGAUUUAAGGUGUGCUAUUUUUGAGAUACCAAUAAAGCCAAACUCUGGGGAGCGGGUUGGUUUGGACACUAACUUGAGUGUCUGCUGAGUCUGGAACAGACUCACUUCGUUCAAAGCUGUCCCAGCUAAGGCCACAUUUCCUCAUCUUUAGAACACCCUAAAAUGCUCACCUGGUUUUGGUUGUGGGGAUUGUGGUGAGUGGAUGAUGGAAUAAGAUUUUGUUGGGUGGUUUAUAUUUUCUUUCUUCUAUAUAGAUUCUCAUAUUGUCCUCGUUACCGUAGGAGCUGAGCGUCUUGCAGUGGUGCAUUAAGUCACGUGGCUCACAUCUGUCACGUCCCUUGUUCUCUCUCUUCUUCCACCCAAGAGGAGAAUGAUCUUCAGUGAGCUCUCACCUGGCCCUUGUCUAAGAGGUAAUGAUAAGAAAGCUCCCGCCUCUCACCCCUUUGCACAUCCCUGCAGGACUAGACAUCACCUGGCCCAUGGGAUGCUCAAGAUUACUAAGUUAACAUUGCAGGAAAAUAAUUAACUCAUUUCAAUGGCAUUGAAGUUUGACCGACACAGCAGUUGUCAUUAGAAAGUUAAAAGUUAUCCCCUGUAGCUGUAUCUGAGGUCUCACGGUAUUCCCCUAUAUUUGGAACAGAGAAAGACUGGGCACUAACGUAGUAAGUGUGGCCAAAGUCAACUUUCUUAUGCCAUCUAAGAGUUUAAGGAUUCAAAGGGAAACUCCUGAGCACUGUUAACCCAAAACCCCGGCAGCAGCUGUGGGGAGAGUGGUUUAGUGUCUGAAUCCAGGAAGAAAGAUGUUCUGCAACACGAGGAAGCACCUCUACCAGCUUGUCAUGUGCAGGAAGAAAGGCCCAGUCCACAGGCAAAGACAGUGACACAGGUCACCAUCUACCAAGUGACAUCAGUGACGUGGACAUUUACAUUGCUUGAUGACCCUGGGUAACUCAGUGGUCAGUGUGUAUUACAGGUCCCCCGAUCCACAGAGGAUAUAAGUUUGUUACCGCUGCAACUAGAGAGCUUUAGUUCAAGCUGUAUCAGCCUAUGCUUCUAGCUCCAGAGGUCUCCGUUCACUCCCCCGGGUGUCAGCCAAGCCAUCCCAGCUGCAGCAAUGAGAACAGUAAGCUGCAAUGCAGAAACUACAGUAAGAUGCAAUCUGCUGCCUGGGCUUGUCACACACCAUCCCAGCAUUACUGGUAAAUUGCACGCUCCAUUAAUUGCUUGACCACACUUUGGUUCCUUAUGGAAUAUGCACACAAGACCAAAUGACCAAUACCAGUCAGGUUGAUUGCUAAUAGUCAAUAAUAGUAUAGUUCAGGAAAAAAGGUUCAAUAUGAGACCAGUUUCCAAGAAUCUGUCUUGUUAAGUUCACCCUACACAGAAGAUGUGUUCCCAGAGUUCCACAUUUUGGGUAGGACUAUUUAUAGGAUGAUUUUACAACUUGCAAAAGUCUUUACAUAUCACUAAAAUCCAAUGCACCCGUUCAUCCCAGUUCCUUAACCUGUUGUUCUGUACCUUCCGUAUCUUUGUUUUGGGCACUAGCUUUCCAGGUAUUGGUCACUGAAAGUCCCUCCCCAGCUUGCACAGGGGCAGAGCUUGAAUGUAUUUUGCCUUUGACAGUGCCUGUUUUUCAAUGCCAAAGCUGACUACAGCUUUGCAGUAUGUUAUUGGAUACACAGCUUAGGUGAACAGGGUUAUAGAAAGAAAGACAUAGGCCAGGUUAGGCCACGUAACUGCUAGAAACAUAUAUACACACAAAAUGAUGUUAUAUUGAUAUUGUGUGCUUAAUGCAUAUUAAUAUAUGAUGUGAAUUAGAGAGAGAGGGAGAGAGAGAUAAGACCAGUAUAUAUUAGUCAACAGCAUGGAGAAAAUUAUAUUGAAUGGAAGUUAUUAAUGCCAAUAAGUAUGAACCACCAGAUGAAAUUUUGGAGGAAGCAGUGGAACUACUUGUAGAGUAGGGCGCUACUUAACAUGAGUAAGAGUGGCAGAAUUUGACCCAUUAUUAUUAAGUAUACAGAAAUGGAUAUUUCUUCACAACAUAAUUACCUUAGCUUUGUUUUUUUUAAUACUUUCAGUACCUAAAUACUUUAUCUAAAGGGAUACUCAAGUGGUAAACCAAUUCAUACAUUUAUCUUUGGACAGUAUAAUUUUUGGUAAGGUACUUUAAUUGCUCAGUGUUGAGAAAGAGAUGGAAGAAAUGAAAGGGAUUCAGAGAUGAAGAACAAAAGAGGCGGAAGUCCUAGUGAGACUUCCAUAUGAGGACAGAUUAGAGUUGAUUAUCUUAGUAAGGAGAUGAGUAAGGGGGAAUAUGCUAGAUGUUACGAUUGGUUCAGAGACAGUAAAUCAGGAGCUCCUGUAUAUUCAUCCCCAAAGUCACUGACAAUGAAAGGCAACACUUACAAAGCUAACAAAAGGAAAUGAUUUUUAAUCACUGCACUGAUUGCCACAAGGUAGCAUUGAGACCAAGAGUUUAGCAGGAGUCAUAAAAAGAUUAGAUUUGUAUUUAGUGAGAUUAUCCACAGUUGGAUUAGACAGGAAAACACUUUUAUAAAGAAUUUAAACCCUCAUGAUUCAGGGUAUCAGACAGCGCCUAAAUAGAUGCAUGUUAGUAUGAUAAUUCCCCUGAUGGCUGGUUACUCCUUUAAGGGUUUCUUGCAACUUCCUCUGAAGUAGCUGGUACCUGACAGGCAGUGUGAUCUAGUGGAUAGGGCACUGGACUGCUUCUGCCACGGACUUAUGGUGGGAUCUUGGGCAAGUCAUUUCACCUCUCUUUCUCCUCACAUCCUUCGUCUCUCUGGCCUAUUUAGACAGUACGCUUUGUGAAGUAGGGACUGUCUCUUACUAUGCGGCUGCACAGGAGUGACUACAAUAGGCCCCAAUCUCAACUGAGGUCUCU